AUCUCUUGGUUCUGGCAUCGAUGAAGAACGCAGCGAAAUGCGAUAAGUAAUGGUGAAUUGCAAAAAUUCAGGUGAAUCAUCGAAUCUUUGAACGCACAUUGCGCCCCUCGGUAUUCCGGGGGGCAUGCCUGUUCGAGCGUCAUU
rnacentral:rRNA from 1 species